rnacentral:rRNA from 1 species
UCUACGUGAGGCUGCAGUCGAGGAUUUUUCUCAAUGGGGGAAACCCUGAAGGAGCGACGCCGCGUGAGGGAUGAAGGUCUUCGGAUUGUAAACCUCUGUCAUCUGGGAUCAAAGCGUAUGACCUAACACGUCAUACGUUGCUAGUACCGGAAGAGGAAGCAGUGGCUAACUCUGUGCCAGCAGCCGCGGUAAUACAGAGACUGCAAGCGUUGUUCGGAUUCAUUGGGCGUAAAGGGUGCGCAGGCGGUUCGUUAAGUCGGAUGUGAAAUCUCACAGCCUAANUGUGAUAGGUCAUUCGAAACUGGCGGACUUGAGGAUUGGAGAGGAGACUGGAAUAGUUGGGGUAGCAGUGAAAUGCGUAGAGAUCAACUAGAACACCGGUGGCGAAGGCGAGUCUCUGGACAAUUCCUGACGCUCAGGCACGAAAGCCAGGGGAGCAAACGGGAUUAGAUACCCCUGUANUC